GAGGGUACAGCUCAAUGGCAGAGUGCAUGCCUGGUAUGCAUAAGGUCCUGGGUUCAAUCCUCACUACCUCCA
rnacentral:tRNA from 1 species